GCCUCAUUAGCUCAGCGGAUAGAGCGCUCGUCUACGGAACGAGAGGCCGGGGGUUCGAAUCCCUCAUGAGGUGC
rnacentral:tRNA from 1 species